GAUGAACGCUGGCGGCGUGCCUAAUACAUGCAAGUCGAGCGAACGGACGAGAAUCUUGCUUCUCUGAUGUUAGCGGCGGACGGGUGAGUAACACGUGGAUAACCUACCUAUAAGACUGGGAUAACUUCGGGAAACCGGAGCUAAUACCGGAUAAUAUUUUGAACCGCAUGGUUCAAAAGUGAAAGACGGUCUUGCUGUCACUUAUAGAUGGAUCCUCGCUGCAUUAGCUAGUUGGUAAGGUAAAGGCUUACCAAGGCAACGAUGCAUAGCCGACCUGAGAGGAGGGACAGGGACACUGGAAAUGAGACACGGGCGAGACUCCUAAGGGAGGCAGCAGGGGGGAAUAUUGGAGAAUGGGCGAAAGCCUGAUACAGCCAUGCCGCGUGUGGGAAGAAGGUGUUAGGAUUGUAGAGAACUUUAAGUUGGGAGGAAGGGCAGGAAGUGAAUACCUUGCUGUUUUGACGUGACCAACAGAAUAAGAACCGGCUAACUUCGGG
rnacentral:rRNA from 1 species